rnacentral:lncRNA from 1 species
GAACGUAUUUGAGCUCCCCAAGAAGGAAAGAAAAGAAGAGGAUUGGUUUCAGAAGGUUGAUCAAUUGCAAUUUCCCCACCCAUCCCUCACCUCCCUUUCAGAUCUCAAAGACUAUAUUUCCAGGCUUAAGUAAAGAGCAACUCUUUAGUGGUCAGAGGUCUCUUCUUCAAUGAGUUCCAAGUCAAACUCAUCUUCUAUAGAACCUCCAACAGGUAGAAGACGGAACUUCUUUCCUCUCAGGGUACAUGUGCGGUGCUUGAAAUCCAAGAUGGCGCCAUGGUCUUGGAGUACAUCUGUUCCAAUGAUGGCUUCUUCUGUGCUUGCAUUGGCCACCAAGAAUUCAGCCUCCAUCUCAAACUUCCCCAGGGUCACUUUAGUGUCCCAGAUGCCCAAGAUCUUCAUCUCAGCCCCAUUGGCCACUUUUACCACAUUUUCAAAGGGUCGAAGGGUGUCUACAUCUCCAUCAGUAGCCUGCUCCCACAAGUCUGGACUGACCACUGAUACCUGGGCUCCAGAGUCCACUAGGAACCUCACAGGAAUACCCUCAAUUUUGCCUUUGAGCCAUAAUACCGCUCUCCACUGGACUUACGUGCACAAUCCACACAAGGCAGAUAAACCCGAAGAGCAGGACAGGAUCAAUCACGGUGGUGUCCAAGGCAAGUCUCAGCCAGAACUAGGACAACCCUUCAGCAGCCUGAAGAGUUGGAGCUUCCGGAUCUCUGGCAAUAGAGAGGCAAGGAAGAUUUUUGAGCUAGGAAAUGCAAUGGAAUUGGAUCAGCACUGUGAAAAAUGAAGAUGACUCAAAGAAACAUAGGAUCACUAAAAACCCAGUUGAAAAAUUCUGUUCUGAAGGAAACCUUUCCUGGUCUUCCAACUACUUGGUGCCUUUUCCCCCUCCACCCCACCCUCAUCUUCUGCUACCUUAUAUCAUUUUAUAUAGAAUCAGUCAGUCAAUAAAUAUUAUUAAAAACCUACUAUGUCA